AGGGACGAUGAGGUCAAGAGGACGCUGAAAAAUUCUCAAACACAAAAGUCUGCAAAUUCAGUAAUAGUCUUGACUGAGAGGAAGACGAAUAUUCAAGUUCUAUGCAGGCAGAUGAGUGCCACAGCUGUAACUGAGGCACAGAAUGAUAAACACAGUGAAGCCAAUUUCCAGGAUGGCGAGAGGGGGCACCGGAGGUGACAACAAUGACAAGGACCCAAGGACCGCCCUUUGGACAAGUUUUAGGCUCUUGAAAUCUGUGGGACGCCUAAGUGUGUACGGAAACACGGAAAUAGCACAGUCCCUUUGGUUAAGAAUAACAUGUCAGUUUUCUUUUUUUGCUUUUGUGUGCUCUCUGGAGCUCACCCAUGCAUGAUGUUCCAGUUGACUUCAAAGGCAAGUCUGUGGUUGGAUUAGCUCCACAGGACAGAAAGCAAGAUUCUCAGGCUGAUGGAGAGUGACGAGUGGGUUGCCAGCUAUAGUCAGCGUGCACAAUGGCUGCGGGGAAUAUAUUCAGACAUGCCCAAGGAGGUCUGCCCAGGGGGAAACACAUACCUUUGAGGUUUA